CAGGGCCUGGAAAGGUCAAAUUGAGAUGUGAUCUACUCAGCCAAACACUUUCAUAACCCUAGCAGAUAAAACUUAACAAAUAAAUUGAUACAUAAAUACAAAUACAAAUUUAUUUGUUAAGUCUUAUUUGCUGAGGUUAUGAAAGUGUUUGGCUGAGUAGAUGACAUCUCGAUUUGACCUUUCCAGGCUCUG
rnacentral:pre_miRNA from 1 species